rfam:Anopheles gambiae M scf_1925488698 genomic scaffold, whole genome shotgun sequence.
CCCAGUGUUUUUCCUUUUUCCUGUUUUUCCAGAAACCCCUCGAGGGAUAGUACCGGCUCUUCCAUCCAACUCCUAUUCCGACACGUCCUCGUCGUGCAGAGUGGUAGCAUGUGCCACCAUAUAUCCUAGGUUGGAUACACGGGCUAGAUCCAACCCUUCGGGCGGAUGGUGGCAUAUGACGAACCAGGAGGGG